AUAAGGGCAAACUGUCAGAAAUGACAGGACGCAAAAUUAUGGGCCUAAGACUUCUUGAUUGAACGGCGAUGCAGCGAGAAGUUAUGGUUGCCAGAUUGC
rnacentral:ncRNA from 2 species